AGAAAAACAAAGAGGACAUCCUGCUGUGGACCUGAAGUUAAUUUAAGGAAUUUAUAGCAGAGUUUUGAUGCUUUUUUGUCGGGUUUUGUUCCCAGUAAAGCCCAGACUUGUGAAGAUUAACCAGCAAGACGAUGGAAAAACACUGAAACAGACCAGAAAAGACAGUUUCAGUGAAGAUGAUCAGCCAGGUGUGUGUUUUUGGAGGUCAUGAGGAGACUGUCAUACUGAGGAUGUGGGCGGAGCUAAAGGAGGUAUUUACAACCAGAGAGUGAGCCGUAGAUCACCAUCCAUCAACUCGACUUCACCUGAGGUCAUGUGGUGUUUGAUAACACCUCUCUAUCUCCUCUUCAUCGCCCCCUAAAUGACUCCCACCCUGGGCCAGAGCAUGGAGCUGGGGAGAGAGUCUGCUGGGAGUUUGAGCCUCCUCUGAGCCUGAUAAACGCUGACAGUGGAGGCGAGUUUUCAUAAAAGGAGCAUGGUGUCUUUAUAGGUCCAGAUUUACCAUGGGUUUGUGGAUGAAAAAAGCAACACAUUCUUGGAUGAAAA